UCUACAGGAUGCUGCCCUAUCUUGUCAUA
rnacentral:piRNA from 1 species